CUAAUACCGCAUGAUACAUUUGGGUGGCAUCAUCUGAAUGUCAAAGAUUUAUCGCUGGAAGAUGGCCUCGCGUCUGAUUAGCUGGUUGGUGAGGUAACGGCCCACCAAGGCGACGAUCGGUAGCCGGACUGAGAGGUUGACCGGCCACAUUGGGACUGAGAUACGGCCCAGACUCCUACGGGAGGCAGCAGUGGGGAAUAUUGGGCAAUGGGCGCAAGCCUGACCCAGCAACGCCGCGUGAAGGAAGAAGGCUUUCGGGUUGUAAACUUCUUUUAAGAGGGAAGAGCAGAAGACUGUACCUCUAGAAUAAGCCACGGCUAACUACGUGCCAGCAGCCGCGGUAAUACGUAGGUGGCAAGCGUUGUCCGGAUUUACUGGGUGUAAAGGGCGUGCAGCCGGGAAUGCAAGUCAGAUGUGAAAUCCAUGGGCUUAACCCAUGAACUGCAUUUGAAACUGUAUUUCUUGAGUACUGGAGAGGCAAUCGGAAUUCCUAGUGUAGCGGUGAAAUGCGUAGAUAUUAGGAGGAACACCAGUGGCGAAGGCGGAUUGCUGGACAGCGACUGACGGUGAGGCGCGAAAGUGUGGGGAGCAAACAGGAUUAGAUACCCUGGUAGUCCACACUGUAAACGAUGAAUACUAGGUGUGCGGGGACUGACCCCCUGCGUGCCGC
rnacentral:rRNA from 1 species